UACGAAGGGUGCAAGCGUUACUCGGAAUUACUGGGCGUAAAGCGUGCGUAGGUGGUGAGUUAAGUCUGAUGUGAAAUCCCCCGGGCUCAACCUGGGAAUGGCAUUGGAUACUGGCUCGCUAGAGUGCGGUAGAGGGUGGUGGAAUUCCCGGUGUAGCAGUGAAAUGCGUAGAUAUCUGGAGGAACACCGGUGGCGAAGGCGCAUCCUGGACCGGCAUUGACGCUGAUGAGCGAAAAGCCGGGGAGCAAACGGG
rnacentral:rRNA from 1 species